GACGGAGGAUGCAAGCGUUAUCCGGAAUCAUUGGGCGUAAAGGGUACGUAGGCGGCUGGUCAAGUCUGGGGUCAAAGGCCACAGCUCAACUGUGGGAAGGCCCUGGAAACUGACCGGCUAGAGUGAGGUAGGGGCUGCGUGAAUUCCCGGUGUAGCGGUGAAAUGCGUAGAGAUCGGGAAGAACACCUGAGGCGGAAGCGCGCAACUGGGCCUCAACUGACGCUGAGGUACGAAAGCUAGGGGAGCGAAUGGG
rnacentral:rRNA from 1 species